GAUACGGCGUCGAGCGGCGGACGGGUGAGUAAUGCCUAGGAAAUUGCCCUGAUGUGGGGGAUAACCAUUGGAAACGAUGGCUAAUACCGCAUAACACCUUCGGGUCAAAGAGGGGGACCUUCGGGCCUCUCGCGUCAGGAUAUGCCUAGGUGGGAUUAGCUAGUUGGUGAGGUAAUGGCUCACCAAGGCGACGAUCCCUAGCUGGUCUGAGAGGAUGAUCAGCCACACUGGAACUGAGACACGGUCCAGACUCCUACGGGAGGCAGCAGUGGGGAAUAUUGCACAAUGGGCGCAAGCCUGAUGCAGCCAUGCCGCGUGUGUGAAGAAGGCCUUCGGGUUGUAAAGCACUUUCAGUCGUGAGGAAGGUAGUGUAGUUAAUAGCUGCAUUAUUUGACGUUAGCGACAGAAGAAGCACCGGCUAACUCCGUGCCAGCAGCCGCGGUAAUACGGAGGGUGCGAGCGUUAAUCGGAAUUACUGGGCGUAAAGCGCAUGCAGGUGGUUUGUUAAGUCAGAUGUGAAAGCCCGGGGCUCAACCUCGGAAUAGCAUUUGAAACUGGCAGACUAGAGUACUGUAGAGGGGGGUAGAAUUUCAGGUGUAGCGGUGAAAUGCGUAGAGAUCUGAAGGAAUACCGGUGGCGAAGGCGGCCCCCUGGACAGAUACUGACACUCAGAUGCGAAAGCGUGGGGAGCAAACAGGAUUAGAUACCCUGGUAGUCCACGCCGUAAACGAUGUCUACUUGGAGGUUGUGGCCUUGAGCCGUGGCUUUCGGAGCUAACGCGUUAAAGUAGACCGCCUGGGGAGUACGGUCGCAAGAUUAAAACUCAAAUGAAUUGACGGGGGCCCGCACAAGCGGUGGAGCAUGUGGUUUAAUUCGAUGCAACGCGAAGAACCUUACCUACUCUUGACAUCCA
rnacentral:rRNA from 1 species